rnacentral:rRNA from 1 species
CCUACGGGGGACAGCAGUGGGGAAUAUUGGGCAAUGGAGGCAACUCUUACCCAGCAAUGCCGCGUGAAUGAAGAAGGUCUUCGGAUUGUAAAGUUCUUUAAUUGGGGACGAAAAAAAUGACGGUACCCAAGGAAUAAGCCCCGGCUAACUACGUGCCAGCAGCCGCGGUAAUACGUAGGGGGCAAGCGUUGUUCGGAAUGACUGGGCGUAAAGGGUGUGUAGGCGGUGUAGCAAGUUAGAAGUGAAAUACCUAGAGCUUAACUCAGGUGCUGCUGCUAAAACUGCUAUACUUGAGUGCAGUAGAGGGAAGAGGAAGGCCGAGGGGAGCGGUGGAAUGCGGAGAUAUAAGGAAGAACAUCAGGGGCGAAGGCGACGUACGGGACUGAAAUUGACGAGGAGGCAAGAAAGUGUUGGGAGCAAACAGGAUGAGAGACCCUUGUAGGC